UACGAACCGUACGAACGUUAUUCGGAAUCACUGGGCUUAAAGGGUGCGUAGGCUGCGCAGCAAGUUGGGUGUGAAAUCCCUCGGCUUAACCGAGGAACUGCGCCCAAAACUGCUGUGCUCGAGGGAGAUAGAGGUGAGCGGAACUUAGGGUGGAGCGGUGAAAUGCGUUGAUAUCCUAAGGAACGCCGGUGGCGAAAGCGGCUCACUGGAUCUCUUCUGACGCUGAGGCACGAAAGCUAGGGUAGCGAACGGG
rnacentral:rRNA from 1 species